CAAAAUUAUUAUCUUAGCGGACUCAGCGCCACUAUGCGGCAUCUCACGCGCAUCGCUACCUACCGUCCUCUCAGCCUUAUGGCCCCCUUCGUGGUCUUCCACUUCGUUGUCUAUGAUUAUGAGUAACAAGUUAAAUGGGUGUUUGUUACGUUACGCUGUUAUGUGUUUCAAAGGAUUUUUCGUCAAAAAAUUUACGAUUGCUUUUUGUCUGUGUUGGUGUUUCGCCUUGUCAGCUAUGCUAGCUGCUGAUAGCUGCUGAACCAGCAGUCUGCAUUCCUGCUAUCAAUGUACCACAAGAGAUCUUGACACUUUGAGAAGGCCACUAUUGCUUACAUGAAGAUCACCAUCCAGUUCAAGUACUGUUAAUGGACCUCAAGCCUUUUGUUUAAGCUUAGUGAUGUGUUCUCUCGUCAGUCAACAACAGUCUUCAUCUACUUUGUUGCUAACCAUCCACCCUCAGCAUCCCAGGUAUCCAGAUUUCCAAGUUUCUCUGAUUAGCCAACCAUCAUCAAAACCCUUCAGCUCUUAAAUGUGGCUUCUCUUCCUCACUUCUUAAUCUGCUGAAUGCCAACACUGAAUAAGAUUCAUCAUCAUUGCCUUUCCAUGCCAGCUCACAUGGAUAGGCUUUAACAGCAUCUCCAUUUUUUGGACUGCAAAUAUUCAUCUUCUUCGGUACGACACUGCCGUUUUGACAAUUUCGGCAGUUUCGCCCCCAGUGGACCACACGCAACUACAUUUUCUUCGUCAUCCUGUCGUUGUUGUCUACGACUUCACCUCAUCGCUGUCUUCGUUGAUGUCUUCGCCUUCAUCUCCGUCUCGUCGUCUUAGUCGUCUUCUCCUUCAUCUCCGUCUCGUCGUCUUAGUCGUCUUCUCCUUCAUCUCCGUCUCGUCGUCUUAGUCGUCUUCUCCUUCAUCUCCGUCUCGUCGUCUUAGUCAUCUUCGCCUUCACCUUCGUCUCGGCGUCUUCGCCGUCUUUGUCUACGCCAUCACCUCGUCGCCGGCUUCUCUUUCGCCCUUCACGUUGAGAAUUCACCGUGGAUCUUCGCUCUGGUAUUGUUUUGUUUUACAUUAUUAUGUUUAAGUUAACCCGUUGGCUGCCACCCCGUUUGCGUCCCAUUUUUUUUGUAGCUUGUAGGGACCGGCCGCAAUGGCCUACGCCGAAAGGCACCUUAGGCAAUGCACCAGUAGGGACUUCUCUUUGUCGAUGUGGUGGCGGAUUCCUGAGGGUGUGCAUUCCCUGUAAUGGAUUCCGUCACCGUGUCAGCCCGGACUUGUCUUCGGACAAGUCCCACCUUGUUCGCGAUCCUUAAGACGCGAUGUUUAGUUACUGUAGUUUAAGCAACCUACGGGUUGCGUGGCCUGGCAGCCAACGGGUUAACUUAGUUUAGUGUAUGUAUGUUUGUGUAAAUAUUUGUGUGUAUGUAUAUUGUUAUAAAAAAUAGUGGUGGAA